rnacentral:miRNA from 1 species
UGCAUUUUUUGGUAAGACGAUGUUAACAAAAGUUGUUCGUCAUGAUGAGGGCUACAACAUUGCUUAAUAUCCUUUUAACAAAUUAUGCGUAUUUAAGGAGAUAGCGCUGCGCAUGCGCAGAACGUAUCUCCUUACCUUUGCACUUUUUGGUAAGAAGAUGUUAACGAAAGUUGUUUGUCUUGAUGAGGGCUACAACUUUGCUUAAUAUCCUUUUAACAAAUUAUGCG